rnacentral:rRNA from 1 species
UGCUAUCUCUUACCCAUGUCUUUUAAGUACCUUCGUUUCCUCGGCGGGUUCGCCCGCCGAUUGGACAAUUUAAACCAUUUGCAGUUGCAAUCAGCGUCUGAAAAAACUUAAUAGUUACAACUUUCAACAACGGAUCUCUUGGUUCUGGCAUCGAUGAAGAACGCAGCGAAAUGCGAUAAGUAGUGUGAAUUGCAGAAUUCAGUGAAUCAUCGAAUCUUUGAACGCACAUUGCGCCCCUUGGUAUUCCAUGGGGCAUGCCUGUUCGAGCGUCAUUUGUACCUUCAAGCUCUGCUUGGUGUUGGGUGUUUGUCUCGCCUCUGCGUGUAGACUCGCCUCAAAACAAUUGGCAGCCGGCGUAUUGAUUUCGGAGCGCAGUACAUCUCGCGCUUUGCACUCAUAACGACGACGUCCAAAAGUACAUUUUUACACUCUUGACCUCGGAUCAGGUAGGGAUACCCGCUGAACUUAAGCAUAUCAAUAAGCGGAGGAAAA